rnacentral:tRNA from 1 species
GGGCGGUUAGCUCAGUUGGUAGAGCGCUGCCCUUACAAGGCAGAUGCCACAAGUUCAAGUCUUGUACCGCCCA